rnacentral:rRNA from 1 species
UGGGGAAUCUUGCGCAAUGGGCGAAAGCCUGACGCAGCGACGCCGCGUGGGCGACGAAGGCCUUCGGGUUGUAAAGCCCUGUGGGGAGGGACGAACACCACUUAGACGAACAGGCUAGGUGGCUGACGGUACCUCCUUAGCAAGCACCGGCUAACUCUGUGCCAGCAGCCGCGGUAAGACAGAGGGUGCAAACGUUGCUCGGAAUUACUGGGCGUAAAGCGCGUGUAGGCGGUUUCGCAAGUCGUGUGUGAAAGCCCAGGGCUCAACCCUGGAAGUGCACAGGAUACUACGGAGCUGGAGUACUGAAGAGGAGAGCGGAAUUCCCGGUGUAGAGGUGAAAUUCGUAGAUAUCGGGAGGAACACCAGUGGCGAAGGCGGCUCUCUGGGCAGAUACUGACGCUGAGACGCGAAAGCGUGGGUAGCAAACAGGAUUAGAUACCCCCGUAGUCC